rnacentral:rRNA from 1 species
CAGCACUUAGCCCAUUAAUUUUAAUUAAUUAAAUGGGGAUGCAGUGUAUGGAGAGUUCAUUAGCUUACUACAAUAGAUAGUAGAUUCAAGUCCAUCUUGAAUGGGGCCACUUAUCCCAUAGAGGGUGCCAGGCCCGUAGAAAUUGCUAUCUGUGGUUUGCGAACUUCUCUUAAGAGUCGUGUUGCUUGAUAGUGCAGCACUAAGUGGGUGGUAAACUCCAUCUAAGGCUAAAUAUAACCACGAGACCGAUAGAGAACAAGUACCGUGAGGGAAAGUUGAAAAGAACUCUGAAUAGAGAGUUAAAAAGUACGUGAAACCGUAUAGGGGUUAAGCCCGUUGAAUCUAAAUAUCCGAUGGAUGAAAUUCAGUAUUGUUGGUUGUCAAUUGUUAACGCAUUUGAUUAUUAUACAGUAUGCACUUUUCAUCUAGUAGGACACUGCAAUCUGUUAGAUUAAAUAUAAUUAUUACAUAUUAUAUUUGAACCUAUCAAUGGAAUUUGUGUAGGUUGUUUAUCUGCUAUAGUACUAAUAAUACUAUGCGAUAAAUCUACGUUAGAAUUCUGAUAGUGUUUGACUGACAGAUUAAAUAAAAAUCAUAUAACAU